rnacentral:misc_RNA from 1 species
AAGACUAUAGACCUGCGGAGUACCUGCGGAAGGAUCAUUAUUGAAUUAUGUUUCUAAAUGGGUUGUAGCUGGCUCGUCAGAGCAUGUGCACGCCUGUUUGGACUUCAUUUUCAUCCACCUGUGCACCUAUUGUAGUCUUUGGUUGGUAUCAAGGAAGUGGUCAGCCUAUCAGCACUUGCUGGAUGUGAGGACUUGCAGUGUGAAAGCUUUGCUGUCCUUUACUUGAUCAUGGAGUUGUUU